GACGAACGCUGGCGGCGCGCUUAACACAUGCAAGUCGAACGGAAAGGCCUGCUUUCCCUUGUGGAUUGCGGGUACUCGAGUGGCGAACGGGUGAGUAACACGUGAGUGAUCUGCCCCCAACUUGGGUAUAAGCCUGGGAAACUGGGUCUAAUUCCCGAUAGGACUGCAGGGUGGUGCCUGUGGUGGAAGACGAUUUUCUAGUGGUUGGGGAUGAGCUCGCGGCCUAUCAGCUUGUUGGUGGGGUAAUGGCCUACCAAGGCGGCGACGGGUAGCCGGCCUGAGAGGGUGGACGGCCACAUUGGGACUGAGAUACGGCCCAGACUCCUACGGGAGGCAGCAGUGGGGAAUAUUGCACAAUGGGCGGAAGCCUGAUGCAGCGACGCCGCGUGGGGGAUGACGGCCUUCGGGUUGUAAACUCCUUGCGACCGCGAGGAAGCCACCUGGUUGGAAGGGUGGUGACGGUAGUGGUAGAAGAAGCACCGGCUAACUACGUG
rnacentral:rRNA from 1 species